UACGUAGGGGGCGAGCGUUGUCCGGAAUCAUUGGGCGUAAAGAGCUCGUAGGCGGUUUGGUAAGUCGGGUGUGAAACCUCAGGCUCAACCUGAGGCCUGCACCUGAUACUGCUAUGACUUGAGUCCGGUAGGGGAGUGUGGAAUUCCCGGUGUAGCGGUGAAAUGCGCAGAUAUCGGGAGGAACACCAGUGGCGAAGGCGGCACUCUGGACAGUUCCUGACACUGAGGCACGAAGGCCAGGGAGCAAACGGG
rnacentral:rRNA from 1 species